rnacentral:tRNA from 1 species
CCCUGGGUGGUGCAAAUGAUUAACAUGCUUGGCUGCUAACCAAAAGUUUGGUGGUUCCAGUCCACUCAGAGGCA